UAGGGUCAGUACUUAGCUGACGGUGUUAUUAUCAUAAUAACGCUGAGGAAAGUCCACCCACUUAGGUUUUUGCCUAAUAGACACUUGUGGAAGCAAGAUCCAGAGAUGGAUGGCAACCACUCAGAAACGAGACCACCAUAAAACAGUAUGAUGCUUGCGAAGUUUUUGGUGACAAAAACAAGUUGACCAGCUGACGUUUUUUAUGGAAAGGAUGAAACGGUGAGUCCUGUUUGGUGCAAGUCAGUGAAUUCCAAAUUUCGCAAGAAAUUCAGAGUAUUCCAGCACGCUUAGUUAAAUGCUAAGACAGAUGAUGGCAACAUUGUUGCUAAAAACAUCUGACAGAAGGUGGCUUAUUCUGGCCCUA
rnacentral:RNase_P_RNA from 1 species